rnacentral:rRNA from 1 species
AGUGAACGCUGGCGGUAGGCCUAACACAUGCAAGUCGAACGGCAGCACAGUAAGAGCUUGCUCUUACGGGUGGCGAGUGGCGGACGGGUGAGGAAUACAUCGGAAUCUACUUUUUCGUGGGGGAUAACGUAGGGAAACUUACGCUAAUACCGCAUACGACCUACGGGUGAAAGCAGGGGAUCUUCGGACCUUGCGCGAUUGAAUGAGCCGAUGUCGGAUUAGCUAGUUGGCGGGGUAAAGGCCCACCAAGGCGACGAUCCGUAGCUGGUCUGAGAGGAUGAUCAGUCCCACUGGAACUGAGACACGGUCCAGACUCCUACGGGAGGCAGCAGUGGGGAAUAUUGGACAAUGGGCGCAAGCCUGAUCCAGCCAUACCGCGUGGGUGAAGAAGGCCUUCGGGUUGUAAAGCCCUUUUGUUGGGAAAGAAAAGCAGCAGGUUAAUACCCCGCUGUUCUGACGGUACCCAAAGAAUAAGCACCGGCUAACUUCGUG